rnacentral:rRNA from 1 species
AACGAACGCUGGCGGCAUGCCUAACACAUGCAAGUCGAACGCUCACCUUCGGGUGGGAGUGGCGCACGGGUGCGUAACGCGUGGGAAUCUGCCCUUGGGUUCGGGAUAACAGUUGGAAACGACUGCUAAUACCGGAUGAUGACUUCGGUCCAAAGAUUUAUCGCCCAGGGAUGAGCCCGCGUAGGAUUAGCUUGUUGGUGAGGUAAGAGCUCACCAAGGCGACGAUCCUUAGCUGGUCUGAGAGGAUGAUCAGCCACACUGGGACUGAGACACGGCCCAGACUCCUACGGGAGGCAGCAGUGGGGAAUAUUGGACAAUGGGCGAAAGCCUGAUCCAGCAAUGCCGCGUGAGUGAUGAAGGCCUUAGGGUUGUAAAGCUCUUUUACCCGGGAUGAUAAUGACAGUACCGGGAGAAUAAGCCCCGGCUAACUCCGUGCCAGCCGCCGCUGUAAAAC